rnacentral:rRNA from 1 species
AUUUCUGGGGAGUAAUUUUUUUUUAAAUUCAAUGAAUCUGGCGGUUUUUAAAUCUUUUUAGAGGAACCUGUAAUUUAAAUGAUGAUCCACGAUUAAUGUUACCUUGUUUAUUCUUGUAUAUCUCUGUCGUUGAGUGUAAUUUAAAUUUAUUCUCUUUUUUUUUAUAAGAAAUUAUGUUAGGUCAAGGUGCAGUUAUAAUGGGGUUUUUAUGGGUUACAUUAAUAUUUGUUGGGGGUUAAUAUUUUUGAGGAUAUUUUAAACAUGGAUUUAAUAGUAAUUUUUUUUUUUA